CGAAGGGCGUAGCGUUGCUCGGAAUCACUGGGCGUAAAGCGCACGUAGGCGGACUCUUAAGUCGGGUGGAAAUCCUGGAGCUCAACUCCAGAACUGCCUUCGAUACUGGGAGUCUUCGAGUUCGGGAGAGGUGAGUGGAACUGCGAGUGUAGAGGUGAAAUUCGUAGAUAUUCGCAAGAACACCAGUGGCGAAGGCGGCUCACUGGCCCGAUACUGACGCUGAGGUGCGAAAGCGUGGGAGCAAACAGGAUU
rnacentral:rRNA from 1 species